UAAGAGAUUGGCUAAGUUAAAUAAGGA
rnacentral:piRNA from 1 species